rnacentral:rRNA from 1 species
GACGAACGCUGGCGGCGUGCCUAAUACAUGCAAGUCGAGCGGGCCUCCGGAGGUGCUUGCACCUCCGGAAGGCCAGCGGCGGACGGGUGAGUAACACGUGGGCAACCUGCCUUUGAGGCCGGGAUAACACCGGGAAGCCGGUGCUAAUACCGGAUACGUCCUCUUUCGCGCCUGCGAGAGGGGAGAAAGACGGUCUUUAAGGCCGUCGCUCAAAGAGGGGCCCGCGGCGCAUUAGCUGGUUGGUGGGGUAAGGGCCUACCAAGGCGACGAUGCGUUGCCGACCUGAGAGGGUGAUCGGCCACACUGGGACUGAGACACGGCCCAGACUCCUGCGGGAGGCAGCAGUAGGGAAUCAUCCGCAAUGGGCGAAAGCCUGACGGUGCAACGCCGCGUGAGUGAGGAAGGUUUUCGGAUCGUAAAGCUCUGUUGUGAGGGAAGAACAGCUUCCGGAGGAAAUGCCGGAGGUUUGCCGGUACCUCACCAGAAAGCCCCGGCUAACUACGUGCCAGCAGCCGCCGUAA